GCCUGUCCGGAGCUGCACGGUGCUGGUUCAGGCUCAGCGUGAGCAGCUGCGGCUCUCCUGUCUUGACAGAGUUCGUGUUUCCCCGUGAUCAGAUUUGGCCCCGUCUCCCCCAGCGCCGUGCCGUAUGAUAGCUGCAGGCGGGAGACAUGCUGUUUAGAUGACACCGAGUUGUUUUCUACGAAAGGCGCUGUGGCAAUCUUCCCUGACCACACCAUUAAUGUGUUGUAAGAUAUGGAGCCGUUUGUGCCUGAAAGCCUGAGCAGACCCCAAAUGAGCGUGCUAAAGGUCUCUUCCAACCACAACAAUUCUAUGAUUCUCCGGGCUCGUUCUCUGCCCGCUGCACGGGGUUCCCACCAGUGCCGGAGUCGCCAACUCUGACAUUUCUCCAGCUCGGCAGCGUGGGCCUGUCUUCCGACAGGCUGCGCGGAACACGGGAGGGACUUCACCCUGAUCCCACGCCUGGUUAAUGAAAUACUUUCAAUGGUGUCAAGUACUGCUGGGUUAAAACCCAAACCCGAAACCAGGCAACACAAAACCCCACGACAUUGUUUUCCAGUACAUGAGCAGAAGCUUUUGGCUGUGGCAGAAGAGUUCCCCUCUGUCUCAUAUGAAGCUGCUGUAAAGCAUUUCCCAAUGCCUUGAUGUUCUCCCACCCAAAGGGAAUUAAUCGCCGAGAUGGAAUGAAGAGCACAGCCCAGACAGCAGGCAUGGUCCAGACCUCACGGGACUAAUUAUGCUCUUAAAGGAAAAGUCUCAAAACAGAGAGAGUUCAAAACCAAAGCAAAUGAAGAGCAUGGUAUGAAUUACAAUAAGAGCCAUCGCAGACAGUGCAACGUGGCGGUUAAAGCUGAUGAAGAGGACCCAUGACGGGGAAGGCGAGUGUCUGUUUAUAGAAAUAUCAAACUGUUGGGGAGGGGAACUUUUUGAUGCCCCUAACAAGAGGCAGGACAGGAGUCAGAGGACUGGCAAUACUGUCAGUAAAACAUGAAAAUAGACUCAAAACUGGUGACAGGCUGGGGUUAUUAUAGACUCUCAACUGUCUGUAUUUGUGGAAAGUAUACUUAUGUGCAGACAUACAUGUGUACGCCGAGGGUGUCUCCUGGAGAUAGACGGGGGACACGCUGGCCUUUGGGAGAGAUGCCAAGGGAGCAUCUGCCUCCACCUCCUCGUCCUGCAGCCAGUGCUUUGAUGGAGCGACCGGUCCCACCGACGCAAACAAGGUGUCCGCAUCCUGAGCUGACCUUGGGAAAGGCUUCCAAGCCGAAGGCUGUACCUCCCGCAUCCCGGUGAGACCCAAGCUGUACGCGCACUGGGAAGGCACCUAAGAACUGCGAAGAAAAGUCUUUGCAGAAAAGCUCUUUCCCAAGAGGGAGUUCAGAGCAUUAGCAUAAAACAAUCGAGGAGGUUGUUUCUCCUAAGAGAGAGUGAAUUGCUGAACUUGGUUAGUGUCAGAAGCUGCUCUGGAAAAGCCGGCAAGAGGUGGGCAGGUGCAGGGACCUGUCACAUUAUCCCGUACUGGCUCUUCACCUUUUCCUCCUGUACUUUCCAAAGGCAAGGAAAGAGGCUAAUUGGACAGAGGGGAAACCAAGCCGGGAAGGGAAGGGGCUUUGUGUCUGUGGUGCCGCAAACCUGCACCACGGCAGAGCUGGAGCUGGGAAGCUGCAGCAGAACCUCGGGUCCCUGCCCCGAUUUCUGCAGAUUUCUGGGUAUACGUGUUAGAAUUUCCGUCUCAGGGCAGCAAAGCUACCGCGAGGGAAACCACUCCUCUCCUGCCACGGCAAGAGAAAUACUACAAAGAACGUAGCAAAUGAAAAUGUAUCAUCACAACACUGAAUUAAGAAUCAAGGAAAGUAUUGUUGGUAAGAAGCUGGAUGCACUGAAGAUAUUCAAGACUGAAGGACCAGAACCUCUCGCAUCCAUACCUGCGACAAAUGAAAAAGGACUCAGUUCCUGCAAAGACAAGCUGUGACAGCCGCUGGGUGUCAACUGCAAAGUCAGUAAUGAUUCAUAAGGCAGGGACGUGUCUCUCUAUACCGUGGCUGGUAUAAAGGAGGUUCUGAUAGUGGCUGGGGACCCUGCAUAAACACGUGGCAAAAUAAUAGUGAUUCGGCUU